rnacentral:rRNA from 1 species
AAUAGAUACCCCGGUAGUCCACCCCGUAAACGUUGGGAACUAGUUGUGGGGUCCUUUCCACGGAUUCCGUGACGCAGCUAACGCAUUAAGUUCCCCGCCUGGGGAGUACGGCCGCAAGGCUAAAAACUCAAAGGAAUUGACGGGGACCCGCACAAGCGGCGGAGCAUGCGGAUUAAUUCGAUGCAACGCGAAGAACCUUACCAAGGCUUGACAUACACCAGAACACCCUAGAAAUAGGGGACUCUUUGGACACUGGUGAACAGGUGGUGCAUGGUUGUCGCCAGCUCGUGUCGUGAGAUGUUGGGUUAAGUCCCGCAACGAGCGCAACCCUCGUUCUAUGUUGCCAGCACGUAAUGGUGGGAACUCAUGGGAUACUGCCGGGGUCAACUCGGAGGAAGGUGGGGAUGACGUCAAAUCAUCAUGCCCCUUAUGUCUUGGGCUUCACGCAUGCUACAAUGGCCGGUCAAAGGGCUGCAAUACCGUGAGGUGGAGCGAAUCCCAAAAAGCCGGUCCCAGUUCGGAUUGAGGUCUGCAACUCGA